rnacentral:rRNA from 1 species
GAUGAACGCUGGCGGCGUGCCUAACACAUGCAAGUCGAGCGAACAGACGAGGAGCUUGCUCCUCUGACGUUAGCGGCGGACGGGUGAGUAACACGUGGAUAACCUACCUAUAAGACUGGGAUAACUUCGGGAAACCGGAGCUACUACCGGAUAAUAUAUUGAACCGCAUGGUUCAAUAGUGAAAGACGCUUUUGCUUUCACUUAUAGAUGGAUCCGCGCCGCAUUAGCUAGUUGGUAAGGUAACGGCUUACCAAGGCAACGAUGCGUAGCCGACCUGAGAGGGUGAUCGGCCACACUGGAACUGAGACACGGUCCAGACUCCUACGGGAGGCAGCAGUAGGGAAUCUUCCGCAAUGGGCGAAAGCCUGACGGAGCAACACCGCGUGAGUGAUGAAGGUCUUCGGAUCGUAAAACUCUGUUAUUAGGGAAGAACAAAUGUGUAAGUAACUAUGCACGUCUUGACGGUACCUAAUCAGAAAGCCACGGCUAACUACGUG